rnacentral:rRNA from 1 species
AUUGAACGCUGGCGGCAGGCCUAACACCUGCAAGUCGAACGAGUGGCGGACGGGUGAGUAAUGUCUGGGAAACUGCCCGCUGGCGGGGGAUAACUACUGGAAACGGUAGCUAAUACCUCAUACCAUCGUCUGUGCCCAUAUGUGAUUAGCUAGUGGGUGGGGUAACGGCUCACCUUGGCGACGAUCCCUAGCUGGUCUGAGAGGAUGACCAGCCACACGGGAACGGAGACACGGGCCAGACUCCUACGGGAGGCAGCAGUGGGGAAUAUUGCACAAUGGGCGAAAGCCUGAUGAAGCCAUGCCGCGUGUAUGAAGAAGGCCUUCGGGUUGUAAAGUACUUUCAGCGAGGAGGCGUUACUCGCAGAAGAAGCACCGGCUAACUCCGUGCCAGCAGCCGCGGUAAUUC